CACGUAGGGGGCAAGCGUUGUCCGGAUUUAUUGGGCGUAAAGAGCUCGUAGGUGGUUCGGUAAGUCAGGUGUGAAACCUCCAGGCUCAACCUGGAGACGCCACUUGAUACUGCUGUGACUGGAGUCCGGUAGGGGAGCGUGGAAUUCCCGGUGUAGCGGUGAAAUGCGCAGAUAUCGGGAAGAACACCCGUGGCGAAGGCGGUUCUCUGGGACGGUACUGACGCUGAGACGCGAAAGCGUGGGGAGCGAACAGG
rnacentral:rRNA from 1 species